UUCGGCGACCCCUCUUUCUUUCUUUUUUUUGCGUAGCCUGGUAUGUUGGGCUCCCGCCGUAUUCUUGCGUUUCUUUCGCACUUUGACACGGCACCACUGCCCUAUUGGACUACUGCAAGCCCGUCCUCUCGUCGGGCGUACACAGUUUGCCCGUGUUUCUGCAUAAGUGGCUGCAGCCUGUCUUCGUUCCUCUCGGCCCGAGCAGUUGUAGCGAGAUGAGGGAACCGGAGAAGUUUCCUGUUUUCAGAGACUCCAUCAUCUUCCGGCUCUCUCACCUUUGGGUUUAUAUUAUUCCGACUCGUCGACUUCUGCCGGCGAUGCCCGUAGAUUUGCAUCUGCUCAAAAUAAGGGCUGAG